AUCAAAUCAAACAUAGCCAUGCAGUCUCCUUAGACAGACACUGGCAGUAGAAUGGGUCAUACUGAAGGGCUCAGUGACUUUAAACAUGGCACUGUUAUAGGAUGCCAUGUUUACCACAGAAAGUUUGUGAAAUUUCUAGUGUGACAGAUCUUCACCAAACAACUGUAAGUGUUGCAUCACUCACUACAGAGUUCCAAGCUGCCUCGUGAAGCAACAUCAAGAACUGUACUGAAAUGGGUUUCUGUGGAGUGGUGUAAAGCAUAUUGCCACUGGAGCAAUGGAGAAGUGUUCUCUGAAGUGAUGAAUCACGAUACAAAGAGAUGGAUUCGAGUGGCUCUGAGCGACGGACGUCAUGAGGACCCCAAAAAUGAACUGAAAACUUUGAAAAUCAAACACUGAAAACUUAACGUGACGAAGGGCUGGUCCCUUUUCUGCUGCUGUCAGUUUCCCUCUAAUAUACAAGUAGCCUCGUUGUCAAACUGAAGGACUGAAGGAGUUAUCUACUUAAAGCACUGUGAAAAACUACUACG
ensembl:lncRNA